UCGGCUCUGGGCGCAGGGGGGGUUCCCACGCCGCGGCAGCCACCUCUCUCUCCCCCCAG
rnacentral:miRNA from 1 species